UGCGUAACGCGUAAGUAACUUGCCCCAAGGUAAGGAAUAACGUCGAGAAAUCGGCGCUAAUACCUCAUAAUGCAGCGGAUCCGCAUGGAUAUGUUGUUAAAGGUUUACCGCCUUGGGAUAGGCUUGCGUCUGAUUAGCUAGUUGGUGUGGUAAUGGCACACCAAGGCUACGAUCAGUAACUGGUCUGAGAGGAUGAUCAGUCACACUGGAACUGAGACACGGUCCAGACUCCUACGGGAGGCAGCAGUGAGGAAUAUUGGGCAAUGCACGAAAGUGUGACCCAGCAACGCCGCGUGGAGGAUGAAGGUAUUCUAUAUCGUAAACUCCUGUGAGAGCAGACGAAAGACAGAUUAUUAAUUUGGAUGACUGUAUGCUCAGAGGAAGCCCCGGCUAACUACGUG
rnacentral:rRNA from 1 species